rnacentral:tRNA from 1 species
AAUCUUAUAGUCAAUUAUGAUUUUAAAUUGCAAAUUUAAAGGUAAAUUAAAUUUUAAGGUUU